AGCGAACGCUGGCGGCAGGCCUAACACAUGCAAGUCGAACGAACUCUUCGGAGUUAGUGGCGGACGGGUGAGUAACACGUGGGAACGUGCCUUUAGGUUCGGAAUAACUCAGGGAAACUUGUGCUAAAACCGAAUGUGCCCUUCGGGGGAAAGAUUUAUCGCCUUUAGAGCGGCCCGCGUCUGAUUAGCUAGUUGGGGAGGUAACGGCUCACCAAGGCGACGAUCAGUAGCUGGUCUGAGAGGAUGGCCAGCCACACUGGGACUGAGACACGGCCCAGACUCCUACGGGAGGCAGCAGUGGGGAAUCUUGCGCAAUGGGCGAAAGCCUGACGCAGCCAUGCCGCGUGAAUGAUGAAGGUCUUAGGAUUGGAAAAUUCUUUCACCGGGGACGAUAAUGACGGUACCCGGAGAAGAAGCCCCGGCUAACUUCGUGCCAGCAGCCGCCGUAA
rnacentral:rRNA from 1 species